rnacentral:rRNA from 1 species
AGCAGCCGCAGUAAUUCCAGCUCCAAUAGCGUAUAUUAAAGUUGUUGCAGUUAAAAAGCUCGUAGUUGAAUUUCGGGGUUAGCAAGUUGGUCGUGCCUUCGGUAUGCACUGGCUUUGCUGAUUCCUCCUUCUUGAAGAACUGUGAUGCUAUUAAUUUGGUGUUGCAGGGAAACAGGACUGUUACUUUGAAAAAUUAGAGUGUUUAAAGCAGGCUAACGCUUGAAUACAUUAGCAUGGAAUAAUGAAAUAGGACGUUUGAUCCUAUUUUGUUGGUUUCUAGGAUUGACGUAAUGAUUAAUAGGGAUAGUUGGGGGCAUUAGUAUUCAAUUGUCAGAGGUGAAAUUCUUGGAUUUAUUGAAGACUAACUACUGCGAAAGCAUUUGCCAAGGAUGCUUUCAUUAAUCAAGAA